rnacentral:rRNA from 1 species
UGGGGAAUAUUGCACAAUGGGCGCAAGCCUGAUGCAGCCAUGCCGCGUGUGUGAAGAAGGCCUUCGGGUUGUAAAGCACUUUCAGCGGGGAGGAAGGCGGUGAGGUUAAAAACCUCAUCGAUUGACGUUACCCGCAGAAGAAGCACCGGCUAACUACGUGCCAGCAGCCGCGGUAAUACGUAGGUGGCAAGCGUUGUCCGGAUUUAUUGGGCGUAAAGCGAGCGCAGGCGGUUUCUUAAGUCUGAUGUGAAAGCCCCCGGCUCAACCGGGGAGGGUCAUUGGAAACUGGGAGACUUGAGUGCAGAAGAGGAGAGUGGAAUUCCAUGUGUAGCGGUGAAAUGCGUAGAUAUAUGGAGGAACACCAGUGGCGAAGGCGGCUCUCUGGUCUGUAACUGACGCUGAGGCUCGAAAGCGUGGGGAGCAAACAGG